CUCGGUGAUUAGAGCGUCGUCGACCUACCUAAUCCCAUUCCGAACUUAGAAGUAAAAGGCGACAGCGGGGACGAUAGCUUUCCGGCAACGGAACGUGAAAAUACCUCGUUGCCGGGA
rnacentral:rRNA from 2 species